AUGGAUCACAACCCACAAAUUCUAUGCUGGAACGUGAGAGGAUUAAACAAUCCAGCUAAGAGGAAAGUAGUUAGAGAGUUCAUUGCCUCAUUGAGAGUCAACGUGGUGUGUUUACAGGAGACCAAAUUGGACACUGUGGAUUAGUUUUUAGUUUCGCAAUGCAUUGGGCCAUCUUUUGAUGGUUUUUCUUAUUUACCUGCGGUGGAAACGCGUGGAGGUAUUUUACUUGCUUGGGACUCCUCGAGUCUGAAGGUGGAUAGCAUACAGAUUGAUGCUAAUUUUCUAACAGGCAAAGUGAGACAACGGGAUGGUAACGAGUGGUGGAUCUCGUGGUGUAUGCCCCUCAGGGAGAUGAGCUUAAAACUCAAUUCCUCAACGAUCUUUUCGCCCGUAGACUACUAUUCCCCGGUCUGUGGAUGUGCCUCGGUGACUUUAAUAUGA
rnacentral:rRNA from 1 species